UUUCCCCGCUUCCUGAUUUUCUUGUGAUUAUUCCUGUAACGGUUGAACUUUCUCCUCGCGUGUUUGAUGUUUUCCUCAUUUACUGUGAACUGAAUCCUGUCAGUUUUUACAAGUUAAACGUUCAACAGGAAACUGACUUCCUGUCUCUUAAAGCUUAGUAAAAAGUUAUUGUUUACAUAUUUGUUAAAACUGACAGGACAAUAUGAGACAGAUAAUCUGGCUCCUCCUCUCCCGGUCAGAAACAACCAAUCAGAGCCAGGAGGAGUGUCUUAGCGGUGUCAAUCACGCUCGUGUACGCGCUGCUCGCACCCGUCCCCCGCACAGCGCGGGCCGUCGUUCAAGCUCAAGAUUGCCGGAGAAAAAACAAUUUCUCGAGUGGCAGCUGCUCAGAAAACAAAGACGGGUAAACAGAAGAAGACCGAUGAAGAAAAACUAGCUAAAAAGAAAGAAUUAGACCGAAGCACGACAUAAAACGAGGGUAAAUCUCUGAGCGGCUUCUCAGAGGUGGAGAGAGCUACGGGUCCUGAAAGGAUUCAAAACCGAUGCAGAGCUAGCCACAUUUCUGCCUCACAAACGUGACGCUCCUGAAAGAGCAGUUUCUGCCCUGGUUGCUGUAAAGUCUACAGCGCCGUGUCGAACCACCACAGGGCGGCCGACCCGGAGAAGAGGCGUCUCCUUCUGCAUCUGGGGACCAGGAGGCUCAGCGUUGGGGACUGUGCCUGUCGGGUCUCUGGUGCUCGUACAAGAACGCAAUAAAGCAUGCGCUGCGGUGUGCGUUCGCCCCGGCGUUUGAUCCGCAGUCGUAAACCUACGGACGCUUCAGGGGAUCACACGCUUACUGGCGGCUUUCUCAGAGGUGUGGCAAGCACGCCAGAGACUCUUUUGAAUGUCCUUCAGAACUCGAUAUGAAGCAUUGCUGCUACAGACGUUCUCGUGCUUUUAUUUUGGAGGCACAAUCACUUGAGAGAUCUGCUUCAGCACCAGCCGCUAGUUUAUUGAUUUAUUUUUCUGCUAUCAAAGUAAUCUGACCAGAUGUUGUUGCCGACCGCUGGACCAGGGUAAAGGAAGAGAGGACAGAGGCUCUUUGUCGCCUUCGAGGGAAAGACGUUGUCGUCCCAGGUGUGUAGUUGAAGCUGUUGAAUGUAUGACUGUGUGGAAGCAACUCAUCACUGUUGAAAGGAACCUCCUGCUCGCUGCGCACAUUACUGCAGCUCCAGCACUUUGGAGAAUGACAGCAGAAAUCCUGCAACUCUGUCGCCAUGGAGGAGCUUUCAUCCAGACUGUGGACGAGCAGAGAUGAAGCCGGCGCUCAGAUGCCCACACCGGGGCCCCUAUGAGUAAGUACUCGUGUGUGUAACAGCAAUAUAAAUAUUGUAGUACAUUAUGAAGCUCCACAGAGACGAACACAAGGCCUUUGGGAUCCAUCGGUCUGGAAAACAGCAGCAGUGAGUGUAAAAACUGUCUCCUGUUGUGACACGUUUAGUAACCAGACAGUUGCAGAUUUUGUUUUCACUGCCUACUCUCCUCUGCCAGAAGGCGUCUUACUCAUCCUGCUGUUCAAGGCAGCAGAGACAGAAGGACGUCCGUCCUCUUCACCUGGCUGGAGGACAGUGUGGGUGGUGAUGAGAGUGCCGACACACGCAUUAUGGGUUGGCGUCCUUCGCCACGUCUGCGACAUUCACACCAAGAACGUUCCUGUCUUUAGUCUGAAGUCCAGACAGGAAGAGUCUCAGAGAGGAUUUCUCCCAGUUUGGUUUCACAGAAGCAAAUCAAGCAACUCAGUUUAGGAAUCCUGUCUUAUCUCAGGUCAGCAAAUCCUAAACACUCGAUCCAGCAUACGUUACCUAGCAACCGAUGCCACUUUGCUCAUCGCGCCGAGCUAAACGGCUUUUAGUCGCUGUUUGGUCGUUUUUUAAUGAAACAAACAACAACUAUCCCGGCAACCACCGGUGUCGCCAGGACCGGCGCCCUGGAGUCCAGCACAGAUCUGUUCCUGGACGUUACUCACAAUGACAAACCUCCAGGGGAGACGGACCCAGGAAGACCGGACUGACCUGGACCACACAGACCUGAGGGCUUUAGUUUGGCUGCUGUUGCUUGCUGGUGUAACGAAUCAUUGCAGAGUCUGAGGGAUGGUGAGACCGGCCGGAUUAUUUCCAGGGCCAUCGGUUCGAUGACGAGAUGACCGGGUCGGAGCGGGAGAGGCGGACCCCCUCUGCAUUUUAAUCCAGACAUCUGCAUCGAUGAGCAACUGGUGCCGUUCAGGGGCAGAUGUGUCAGAUACUCAUGAAAGAAUGACGACGACCUCGACACGGUUGGCAGCACUUCCAGCUGCAGGCGGAGAACCAGCCGUAGUUCUGUUUCAAAACCUCGGUUGGUCGGUUGUGUGGACCCCCGACACCCAAACUGGAAGCCUGGUGAUGGCCAUGAGAGCCACCAGCCGCCGCGGCCUUGGUGUCGGGUGCUCGCGUGGUACAUGUGUGUACACCCCCCCCCCCCCCCCCACGCUCCAAAUGGUCUUUGUUAAAUUAUGUUAAUAAAAUUGUUGUUGUUAAAAAACAUUUUGUGUUUUAUUUCUAGAGCAUAAAAAUGUAACAGCCGGUGCUUUUAGACAGUAAAUAUAUUUAUUAUAAAGGUCUACAGGAAGCUGAAACACGUCAGCUCCCCACCCCCGAGUAGGACGCCAGGCUUGUUGUUAGAGAGCGGGUGAGGAACAAACUGCAGGAGGAAGAAGCAAGAAAUAACUUAGUGGGAGCGCCGCAGUGACACCGACACAACUAGAGGUCUGCAAGCACGUCUGGUCCCCACGGGGCCCGACACGCUGGGGCGAUUCGGGCCGGGCUCGGCUUCGUUUAGCUUCUCUCCUUUCAUUGUGCCCUUAUCUGCGCACAGCACACGGACUUCCGUUGAAAUAUUGUGGUAUUCACUGCUGUGCCGGAGCUAC